rnacentral:lncRNA from 1 species
GUAUUCUGCACGGACUGCUGGGCAGCACUAGCACUCUGGAGAAGGUCUGCCGCUGUCUGCACUUUCCUGGUGAGAAUCCCCAAUGACAGUCCCACUUUUCAGUGGAGGAGAACAAAAUAUCUGUCUACUCUCUUGAAGAAGGACACGGCUUUGAUCAUAUUUGUUCAGGCUUGACUUGGCCGGAGGUUUUAGGUUCUUAGUCUCAAGUCAGCAGUCUCUCUCUCUCUCUCUCUCUCUCUCUCUCUCUCUCUCUCUGAAACACACACACACAGAGACGCACACACACACAAGCACACACAUACACAAGCGCAAAUCCUCUCUUUCUCUUUCUCUCAUUUCCCGUCAUAGGUUCUAUGCAGGCAGAUGAGUGUCACAGCUGUAACUGAGGCACAGAGCAGUACACACAGUGGAGCCGAUUUCCGCGAUGGCGAGAGGGGGCACCGGAGGUGACAACAAUAACAAGACUGUCCUUCGGACAAGUUUUAGCGCUGAAUAUCUUCAGGAAAAUGGGUUCCAUGAGAAGUGACAUCCUCCUCGAAUCAAAAGACUUGAGGUUAACAUGGGCAUAAUGUUCUGGAUGAAGCUUUGGAAGUACUUGUGAAGGGAAGAAUGACUUGGGCAAUACCAAAUGUUGAGUUAUCAAGUAUUUCGAUACCCAUAUGCAUCAUCUGCUAUUCUCAGGAUGAUGGAGUGAGUGAUGGAAUAGGUUGCCAACUGUAGUUACUCCACUCAGCACAGAAUGGCUGCGGGGAAAUAUAAUCAGACAUGCCCAAAGAAGUCUGCUUAGGGUGAAACAAAUACCUUUGAGGUUUAAAUCAGAAAGGAAGGAGAGACUGUUUCUACAGGUGUCAUACAAAAAUCAAUACUGAGCCAAGGAUUAUUGGAUCCCAUAGAACCACGGAGACUUGGUAGUGAAAUUCUUCCAAAGCAUUCCAUCCGUGCAGGCAGAUGGUGUUCCUAGGUUUGGAAAUAUAAAUCCCAUGGGAAGUCAGCUGAAGACCAUUUUAUGCAUCACUCAUCCUGUUAGAGCCCUGUGCUGUUCUGUCUCUCUAUAAGACUGGCUGAAACCACCACGGUUGUUUACAAUUUAUGCUCUAACUUUGGAUCACCUAGUUAAUACUCUAACUCCGAUUAUUACCAAAGACAAUGUUCUAUAAAAGAUAUUGUCUAUUAGAAGGAUGCUUCUGCAUUAUUAAUAAAAUCACAGGGAAAAUGCAACAUUUUGGAUGUCACAUCUGAUAAGUUGGCAGUUAAAGAACAGAAACAGCAAUAAGACUGCGUGGCUACAUUUUCCCAGUGCCACCAACUGGGAUUUAAGCUGACUAACAUUUUGAAAGCCCAGCCCAUUUCAUUCACAGCAGGAUGGCAGAACAAGAAAUUGAGAAUGGGUUUCACAGUGUUCUGUUAAUUUGAUUACUGUGUCCUAAGUGUGGGUGACUGAUCGUACCCGCCAGCUGGCUAAUGUCAUAAUUAACAAAGUUGCUACUACAUCUGCAAAGUUUAAUCGAAAAAUUUGCCAGUGAUAUGAUGGCCUUGUCACAGAGAUCACAAGGGACACGGAGUUGACUUUUGCUCAAGGUGGAACGACAGAGCUGUGUAGGCAAGAUGAGAAAUUGCGAACUUGUUCGGCCAAAGGAGGCUAAUAAUGAAGGGGCCGGGAAGGAGGCCAGUGCUACCAGGGUUAUCUCACAACCUCAGAUGCUGGAUAAGUCGACGGAGGCAGAAUCGCUUUGGGAUGACAUUCAGAAAGCCUGGAGUGAUUACUUGCAAGAGAAAAGCCUACCUAUUCUUUCCAAGGUGCAGGAAUAUUCCCCUGACCUGCUCAUCCAGUGGUCCAGUAAUGAAUUACUGGAGACCUGCCUUAGACAAAGAAUGCACUCGGAGCCCCAACACACCUAAAGCCAUGCUUUGAAGGAUCUGCCAAGCUCACUUUUAAUCAUGAGAAAGAAAUUACCCACACGGAGUCAGCAGAAAAUGAGAAAGUAGAGCUCGUGCUGUGAAUAAUUCCAGCAAGUGCCAAGGGGCUAGUUGAGGAAUGGCUUCAUGAGAACAUGCUCUAGGGGAACUAUUAAUAGCCCACCAGUCGGGUAGGCAGCAUUCAAUCCUUCUAUGCCUUCUUUCGCCACCUGUUGAGGUCUUUCUUCUGAAACAAAGAAGAAAUAGACAAAUCAGACUUGCCCUCUUGGAAAUGUGGUCCAGAUUUCUCUACUCCCAAGCUCCAAAAAAGGUAUACAUUGGAUGGGCUAGAUCAACUCCUCCUGAGAGCCAUAAAUCCGCCAAGAGUUGUUUUCCAUGUAAGGGUGUGGUACAAUGGGGAACACCUGAUGUUGGAGGAAAGCAGGAGGACUUUAGAGUGGAGUUGCAUUCUAAUCUCUCUGCCGCUUCAACUAUGUGACCUGGGGCAAAUGAUAUAAACUCUAUGAGCCUCUUUCCUUAUCUUUAAAAUGAAGAGAAGUAAUACCUACCUUGUAGGGCUGUUGUGAGGAUUAAAUGAAGUAAUGCAUACAGUGCCUAACAAAGUAUUUAACAUCAUAUUUUUUAAAAGCUCAUGAAAUAUUAGUUUUUCUUCCUUCCCCUCUUUCUAUUUUCUCUCCUGUUCCCUUUUCUCUCCCUCCUCUGCCCUCUCCUUCCUUCAGAUGUUAGUCUAAAACAGCACCUUGGAUCUAAGCAGCACCUUUGAGAAAGAAAAGACUGCUUCAAGAAUGUCUAGUUGCACCUCCUUUCCGUAUGUGGCCUAAAUGCCUAGGUUGGAUCAAUAGUUUAAUUUUUUUAUUGAACUGUUUAAUAUUGACUAUGGACUUACAUUCACUUUUACUGUUUUCUGUAUAUUUACUUUUGCUUGAAGUGUUUUAAUAUUGACUAUUUACCUCUGCUCAUUUUUAUUGAUUUUCUGUAUUUUUUCAAUGAAAAUUAUAAUAAAAAUUAUUUUUGUUA